rnacentral:rRNA from 1 species
UACGGAGGAUGCGAGCGUUAUCCGGAUUUAUUGGGUUUAAAGGGUGCGCAGGCGGAUUUUUAAGUCAGCGGUCAAAUCGUGGGGCUCAACCCCAUCCAGCCGUUGAAACUGGGGAUCUAGAGUGUGCGAGAGGUAUGCGGAAUGCGUGGUGUAGCGGUGAAAUGCAUAGAUAUCACGCAGAACACCGAUGGCGAAGGCAGCCUCCUGGGACGCAACUGACGCUCAUACACGAAAGCGUGGGGAGCAAACAGG